rnacentral:rRNA from 1 species
UUGACGGGACCCGCACAAGCAGUGGAGCAUGUGGUUUAAUUCGAUGCAACGCGAAGAACCUUACCCAGGCUUGACAUGCAGAUGACCGCUCUAGAAAUAGAGUUUUCCUUCGGGACAUUUGCACGGGUGCUGCAUGGCUGUCGUCAGCUCGUGCCGUGAGGUGUUGGGUUAAGUCCCGCAACGAGCGCAACCCUUAUCAUUUAGUUGCCAACAGGUGAAGCUGGGAACUCUAAUGAGACUGCCUGGGUUAACCAGGAGGAAGGUGAGGAUGACGUCAAGUCCGCAUGGCCCUUAUGUCUGGGGCUACACACGUGCUACAAUGGUCGGUACAGAAGGCAGCGAAACCGCGAGGUGAAGCAAAUCCAACAAAGCCGAUCUCAGUUCAGAUUGUAGUCUGCAACUCGACUACAUGAAGACGGAAUUGCUAGUAAUGGCGAGUCAGCAACAUCGCCGUGAAUACGUUCCCGGGUCUU